GCCAGGUGUGGUGGUGCACACCUAUAAUCCCAGCUACUCAGGAGGCUGAGGCAGGAGAAUCGUUUGAACCCAGGAGGUGGAGGUUGCAGUGAGCCAAGAUCGCGCCAUUGCACUUCAGCCUGGGUAACACAGCGAGACUCUGUCUCAA
ensembl:misc_RNA Metazoa_SRP Metazoan signal recognition particle RNA